rnacentral:rRNA from 1 species
AGUGAACGCUGGCGGUAGGCCUAACACAUGCAAGUCGAACGGCAGCACAGUAAGAGCUUGCUCUUACGGGUGGCGAGUGGCGGACGGGUGAGGAAUACAUCGGAAUCUACUUUUUCGUGGGGGAUAACGUAGGGAAACUUACGCUAAUACCGCAUACGACCUACGGGUGAAAGCAGGGGAUCUUCGGACCUUGCGCGAUUGAAUGAGCCGAUGUCGGAUUAGCUAGUUGGCGGGGUAAAGGCCCACCAAGGCGACGAUCCGUAGCUGGCCUGAGAGGAUGAUCAGCCACACUGGAACUGAGACACGGUCCAGACUCCUACGGGAGGCAGCAGUGGGGAAUAUUGGACAAUGGGCGCAAGCCUGAUCCAGCCAUACCGCGUGGGUGAAGAAGGCCUUCGGGUUGUAAAGCCCUGUUGUUGGGAAAGAAAAGCAGCAGGUUAAUACCCCGCUGUUCUGACGGUACCCAAAGAAUAAGCACCGGCUAACUUCGUG